rnacentral:rRNA from 1 species
UACGGGGGGGGCAAGCGUUGUUCGGAAUUACUGGGCGUAAAGGGCUCGUAGGUGGCCAACUAAGUCGGACGUGAAAGCCCCGGGCUCAACCUGGGAAUUGCGAUGAAGACUGCAAGGCUUGAAUCUGGCAGAGGGGGGUAGAAUUCCACGUGUAGCAGUGAAAUGCGUAGAGAUGUGGAGGAACACCGAUGGCGAAGGCAGCCCCCUGGGUCAAGAUUGACGCUCAUGCACGAAAGCGUGGGGAGCAAACAGG